GAGUCUCUCUCUCUGCUUUCUGAUCACCAUGUGGACUGCUUGCCUCUGCCACAAUCUUUUCAAUGGUGUCCUGCAUCACCUCAAGCCCUGAUCAAUGGAGCCGGCCUUCUAUGGACUAAGACCUCUGAAACCUCUCACUAUGGAAUCUCUUCUUUCUUGGUUAAACAAUAAUGUUGCCCCUACCAUGAGAGAGGCAGCAUGGUCCAUAGGAAAGGGCUUGGAGUUGGAGAGAGGAACACUGGACUCUUGCCAUUCUGCAGUGGGCAUGUCCUCACUCCUGACGUACUUCAGCAACUUUGGGGAUCCUGUGGCCAGUGCCUCACCUGAGCCUGGCCACCUGCUGGUGUCAGGAGGCACAGUUGGCAGCCGGAGUUAAGUGAUUCCCCAGGGAUGAUCUGUAAAGCUAUCAGGCUCACUGAAUUACAAACAAAAGAAGUUGAUCUUCUCCGUAUCAUACCCAGCUCACUCUGACUCCCUGUCUUCAGAGGUGAAAUGCAUCCUUAAUGAACCAUGAAGAGGCUCAAAUGUGGACAUGGAGAAAGUGAUUUAUAAACUAAGAAGAACCAUGAGAACCCAGAGGUGUUUGCUUGGGUGAUCUCAGUGGAGGGCAGCUGGCGCUGGCAAUCCUAAUCCAAGUGUGUCUGUAGCUUUCUGAAGAUGCCAGGCCUGAGCUCUUCUGAACCAGGGCUUCUCAAAGCCAGGUGAGGGCCAGAAUCCCCUGGGGUGAACAGAAUCCCCUGGGGUGAUCAGAAGUCCCUGGUGCUUGGGCACCCAGUCCGGGGCAUUCCUAUGAUAUGAAUCUGACUUGGGGCUGAGAAGUUGAUUUUUCUAACUCGUCUUAGAUGAGUGUGGCCACCUAGCAAGUCCAGGAGCCUCUGCUUGGAGUGAGUGGGACACCAGAAUGGCCACUUAUAUGAGGGUCAGGUGAGGUCUUGAAAUGCUUCCCAAACUCUUUGCUGUCCUCUGCCCAAGGUGGAGGUAAAGCUGGGUUUAUGUCACUGCUCAGAACAGCUCCAAGACUCCAACAGAAUAAGCCGUCUCUGUUGUGCGAAACUUGGAGGAAAGAAACAGCAGGUUCAGAAUGAGACAGACUUUCUUCCUGCUGCAGCAGCUUCUUUAAAGGGUGGUGAAUACACACAACAGGAUACCCUUCAGCCCUCAAAAGGGACAGCAUCUGGAGAUCAGAAUGGUAAGUGAUCACAGCCAUGGCAUAUCCUAGGAUCCAAAAUGGCUACAAGAGAGGACUUUGAAUGUUCUCAUCUAAGGAUGAAAUAUUUGGAAUAGUAGAUAACCUAUAAAUAGUCUAUAACUAAGUUUCUUGGAUUGAUCAAUACAUAAUAUAUAAAUAUGCCAAGACCUCACACUGCACUUUCUAAAUGUAUGUAUACAUGUUAUCUGUCAAUUAAUAUAAAAACAAGCAAAUACAUAGAUUAAAAAGACAUUAGCUUCUUUGGGUAGAGUGAGUUGUGUUAAUUGAGGUUGACUGCCCAUAGGAGGUUGGGAGAGCACCUGUCAGGGGUGCUGAGGGUGAACAUCCCAAGAAAGUAUUGGGUGAGGUUGAUCAUCAGCCUUUUGAAGUUCCACCUUUAAAGACUUCUGGGUGAAUCAUAGACUUGAGGUCGAUGGAUUAGGUCUACAAUAUUAGUUAGCCUACAGGGUUGAACAUCUGAUGUGAACUGAGCAGGUGGUGCUUGCCUAUAAUCCCAGCAAUUCAGGAGGCUGAGGCAGGAGGAUCACAAGUAGGAGGCCAGCCUCAACAAGUAAGC